CUUGUACUCCCUCCGUUCUAAAUUACUUGUCGCAAGUAUGGAUGUAUCUAGAUGUAUUUUAGUUCUAGAUACAUCCAUUUAUGCGACGAGUAAUUUGGAACGGAGGGAGUACUCU
rnacentral:pre_miRNA from 1 species